UGGGGGAAUUUUGGUCAAUGGACGAAAGUCUGAACCAGCGACGCCGCGUGGGUGAUGAAGGCCUUCGGGUUGUAAAGCCCUGUCGGAGGGGACGGAAGUCCCGGUGUAACGAACCGGGUUGACGGUACUCUCAAAGGAAGCACCGGCUAACUCUGUGCCAGCAGCCGCGGUAAUACAGAGGGUGCUAGCGUUGUUCGGAAUUACUGGGCGUAAAGCGCGUGUAGGCGGUACGUUAAGUUCCGUGUGAAAGCCCUGGGCUCAACCCAGGAAGUGCGCGGAAUACUGGCGGACUGGAGUGUCGGAGAGGAUGGCGGAAUUCCCGGUGUAGAGGUGAAAUUCGUAGAUAUCGGGAGGAACACCUGUGGCGAAGGCGGCCAUCUGGACGAUAACUGACGCUGAGACGCGAAAGCGUGGGUAGCAAACAGGAUUAGAUACCCUGGUAGUCCACGCUGUAAACGAUGGGAUGCUAGAUGUUGCGGGUAUUGACCCCCGCAGUGUCGACGCUAACGCAUUAAGCAUCCCCG
rnacentral:rRNA from 1 species